AGCCAGUGAGGUAACCAGACCUCGGCCUCCAGGACCCAGUUCCCACUGCUCUGCACAGAAUGAAGAGACAUGGACAUUGACUAUGCAUGAGAAGAGUAGAAGAAAAGGGUGAAAUGGUGUGAGGAAAAACUACUGGGAAAAUUUCUUAGAUUUUGACUGAUCACUAAACAUCCUAUGAGGACUCUCAUUUCACUCAUCAAAAAUGAAGACAGAAAUGCCUGUGGCCCCGCAACAAACAUAGAGGAAAUUCCGUAUUUGUGGAUGAAAGUUAAGCAAACAAAUUGAUGUAAGUGGUGUGGACUCUGGACUUCAGCCCAUGGAAGCCUGCAAACUGCAAGAUAAGAGCAGGGGCAGCAAUACAAUGAGUAGGCCAGACCAACCACCAUGUACCAGAGGACACCAAGACCCACAAAAGAGCCU